CCUACGGGAGGCAGCAGUGGGGAAUAUUGGGCAAUGGUCGCAAGCCUGACCCAGCAAAGCCGCGUGAAGGAAGAAGGCUUUCGGGUUGUUAACUUCUUUUAUUAGGGACGAAGCAACUGACGGUACCUCAGGAAUAAGCCUCGGCUAACUACGUGCCACCAGCCGCGGUAAUACGUCGGCGGCGAGCGUUAGUCGGAGUGACUGGGUGUACAGGGUGCGUAGGUGGUAUGGCAAGUGAGUAGGUAAAUUCCAGGGCUCAACCUUGGAACUACUGCUAAAACUGUUGGACUUGAGUGCAGGAGAGGCAACCGGAAUGCCUAGUGUAGCGGUGGAAUGCGUAGAUAUUAGGAGGAACACCAGUGGCGAAGGCGGGUUGCUGGACUGUAACUGACGCUGAGGCACGAAAGCGUGGGGAGCAAACAGGAUUAGAUACCCCGGUAGUC
rnacentral:rRNA from 1 species